rnacentral:rRNA from 1 species
UAGAUGCGAGAGUAGAGCAUAUCAAUAAGCGGAGGAAAAGAAACUAACAAGGAUUCCCUUAGUAACGGCGAGUGAAGCGGGAAGAGCUCAAAUUUGAAAUCUUCAAGGUUCUACCUUGACGAAUUGUAGUUUAAAGAAGUGUUUUCUGUUGGAGUUUUGGUAAAAGUUCUUUGGAAUAGGACAUCAUAGAGGGUGAGAAUCCCGUAUUUGACCAUUCACUUCCAGCUGUGUGAUACACUUUCAACGAGUCGGAUUGUUUGGGAAUGCAGUCCAAAAUGGGUGGUAAAUUUCAUCUAGAGCUAAAUAUUGGCGAGAGACCGAUAGCGAACAAGUACCGUGAGGGAAAGAUGAAAAGAACUUUGAAAAGAGAGUUAAACAGUACGUGAAAUUGUCAAAAGGGAAGCGUUUGACACCAGUGUUGUUUUCUCGAAAAUCAAUUAAAAAUGAUGGGAUUUUGUGUUGUAUUGACUUUAUCAGCUUUCUGCACUUUUUUCUUAUCUUUUUUAAUGCACUUUUCGUUUAACAAGUCAACAUCAAUUUCUUUUGUUGUAAAAGAGUCAUUGGAAGGUGGCUUUUUCUUCGGAAAAAGUGUUUAUAGCCUUUGGCUUCUGCAAUCGGAGAGAUUGAGGUCUGCAGCGUAGAUCCUUCGGGGUUAUAUACAUUUGUGCUAAGCUAUAGUUCUUUAUAGACAACUUGUUGACUAUAAUCAAUCCUGUAACUUACUCGCUUAUGCUAUUUUACCUACGCUUAGGAUGUUGACACACGCGCGUGCUCG